rnacentral:lncRNA from 1 species
AGAAAUCAGAAACUCAAGGGUCGCUACGGAGCCUCUAGUAUGAAGGAAUUUGGAGUUCCUGUAAGCAGAGUCUUGCUACAUGUGGCCUUCUCCUCCUACUUUUCUCAGCAUGAAAAGAUGCUGCACUUAUGCAAAAGGUCACACACAAAGGUCGUCCAGGCAGAGGAAAGUCUGGCUAGACAUUAUGUGCUGAAAGGACUUAUAUAACCGCCGGGGGAUUAAAUUGGCUGUGGCUAUUUCCAUGACUCCAGACGUGUGAAGAGAAGCUGAGGAGACACCAGUUACUUACCUAGACAUUUACAAACACCUACGUGCCUGGUACUAUGUUCAAUCUUUAUUCAAAUACUUUUUAUUAAAACACUGGGCUUCUGCAGCACCUCUAGUGGUCUUUUAGUCUUCUGUGCUCAAAAAUCGAGUCAAUUACCAAGCACUAUUCGUUCCAUUUUUCAUGCUGAAGCAUCUCACACAGGCCCCUAACUUUAACUCCUCGUGAUCACCAGGUAACACUCGUGAGCAGUAAUUACUGCAAAGGCGCUCCCAUGCAUUGUCGCUAGUCCACAUGACCACCCUGCAAACGAUGAUCUUUAUCCUCAUUCUACACGGUAGACGAAUGAGAACCACAAAGCCUCAGUAAGAAAAUGACGACGCUCCUAGACAAGACAUGUUUGUGGGAUGCAAGGCCCCGUUUUCUGACUGCUGCACUAAGCUACCUUUCUCCAUUACACCUGGCCUAAAUCCCUUUUGGCUGGCAUUGGAUUAAUUCAACAACUUCGCAAGUGGGUCUCCCUGCCUCAGGUCUCACCAUUGGUCAACCCACUAUAAUACUUUUAAUCCUUUGAUAAAUCCCUGGUAAUAACUUGCAGUGAUCCCUCAGAUGCAGAAGCAAGGGCUUCGCAGACAGUGUGUUCAGUGCAGUGAGCCAGAAAGAUGAAAAAAAAUCUCUAUUGUAAAAUUCACAGAAUCAGACUGCAUGCUACCCAGUCACUAAGCUUCAGGGAGACAUUCUUUAUGAUCGAAUAUGCAGCCAAUAUUUGCAAUGUUCCAUGUACACUUUAGAAGUACACAGUUGUCUCUCAGUAUCCACAGGGGCAUUGGCUUCAGGACUCCCCUUGUAUACCCAAAUCCCUGGUUAUUCAAGUCCCUCAUACCACUAUAAAAUAGCCUACUUUGCAUAUAACGUACACACAUAAUUUAAAUUAAAUUUUCU